rnacentral:rRNA from 1 species
UACAAUGACUCUCGGCAACGGAUAUCUCGGCUCUUGCAUCGAUGAAGAACGUAGCGAAAUGCGAUACUUGGUGUGAAUUGCAGAAUCCCGUGAACCAUUGAGUCUUUGAACGCAAGUUGCGCCCGAAGCCAUUAGGCCGAGGGCACGUCUGCCUGGGUGUCACA